rnacentral:rRNA from 1 species
AUGCCGCUUCCAGCAAAAUCACCGUCUCCGGCUUGCCGCCGUCGUCGGCUUGCACCACCGUGCUCCAGCAAACAAAAGUCCAAUAGAUGGAUGCAGCAAAAAAGAAGCCGGUUCCAGCAAAAAUUAACAUCGCAUCCAGCAAAACAAAAUUCAUCAACAAAAAUCAUCAUAGUCUAUGCAGCAAAUUCAGAUGCUAGUUCCAGAAAAAAUCAACAGAGGUUCCAGCAAAAAUUGAUGUGGCGAAAAAUCAUGAAGGAGACGGCGCCACCCUCCUCUAAAUUUGCAGCAAAAUCAAAAGAAGGUUCCGACAGAAAUAGAAGUGGUUCUAGCAAAAAUCAAACACAGGUUUCAGCAAAAAUUUGA